CAAUAGCGUAUAUUUAAGUUGUUGCAGUUAAAAAGCUCGUAGUUGGAUUUCGGAUGGGAUUUGCCGGUCCGUCGUUACGAUGUGCACUGGCCAGUCCUAUCUUGUUGUCGGGGACUAGCUACUUGGAUUCACUUCCUGGGACUAGGAGCUGACGAGGUUACUUUGAGUAAAUUAGAGUGUUCAAAGCAAGCCUACGCUCUGAAUACAUUAGCAUGGAAUAACACGAUAGGACUCUGGCUUAUCUUGUUGGUCUGUGAGACCAGAGUAAUGAUUAAGAGGGACAGUCGGGGACAUUCGUAUUUCAUUGUCAGAGGUGAAAUUCUUGGAUUUAUGAAAGACGAACUUCUGCGAAAGCAUUUGUCAAGGAUGUUUUCAUUAA
rnacentral:rRNA from 1 species